rnacentral:rRNA from 1 species
UUCCUUCGGGGAACAAGUAGAGUGGCGCACGGGUGAGUAACACGUAGGUAAUCUACCUUUGGAUGGGGAAUAACAACCGGAAACGGUUGCUAAUACCGCAUGAUGCAGCGGCACCUAAUGGUGACAGUUGUUAAAGCGGGGGAUCGCAAGACCUCGCGUCUGGAGAGGAGCCUGCGGCGGAUUAGCUAGUUGGUAGGGUAACGGCCUACCAAGGCUACGAUCCGUAGCCGGCCUGAGAGGGCGGUCGGCCACACUGACACUGACAUACGGGUCAGACUCCUACGGGAGGCAGCAGUCGGGAAUUUUGGGCAAUGGGCGAAAGCCUGACCCAGCAACGCCGCGUGAAGGAUGAAAUCCCUCGGGAUGUAAACUUCGCAAGAACGGGAAGAAUAAGUAGGGGACAAUACCCCCUAUGAUGACGGUACCGUUUGUAAGCUCCGGCUAACUCCGUGCCAGCAGCCGCGGUAAUACGGGGGGAGCAAGCGUUGUUCGGAUUUACUGGGCGUAAAGGGCGCGUAGGCGGCCAGCACAAGUCAGUUGUGAAAUCUCCGAGCUUAACUCGGAAAGGUCAACUGAUACUGUGCGGCUAGAGUGCGGAAGGGGCAACUGGAAUUCUUGGUGUAGCGGUGAAAUGCGUAGAUAUCAAGAGGAACACCUGCGGCGAAGGCGGGUUGCUGGGCCGACACUGACGCUG